UACGUAGGGUGCGAGCGUUGUCCGGAUUUAUUGGGCGUAAAGAGCUCGUAGGCGGCUUGUCGCGUCGGAUGUGAAAGCCCGGGGCUUAACUCCGGGUCUGCAUUCGAUACGGGCAGGCUAGAGUGUGGUAGGGGAGAUCGGAAUCCCUGGUGUAGCGGUGAAAUGCGCAGAUAUCAGGAGGAACACCGGUGGCGAAGGCGGAUCUCUGGGCCAUUACUGACGCUGAGGAGCGAAAGCGUGGGGAGCGAACAGG
rnacentral:rRNA from 1 species